GGAUUUAAGCAGGAGAUGCCAGAAGGAUCAUGAGGCCCCGCUUUCAUGGUCUGUAUUCGUACUGAAAAUCAAGAUCAAGCGAGCUUUUGCCCUUCUGCUCCACAGAGGGCAGAGGGAAGGAGGCAAAAGUCUC